CCUACGGGAGGCAGCAGUGGGGAAUAUUGCACAAUGGGGGAAACCCUGAUGCAGCGACGCCGCGUGAGUGAAGAAGUAUUUCGGUACGUAAAGCUCUAUCAGCAGGGAAGAAAAUGACGGUACCUGACUAAGAAGCCCCGGCUAACUACGUGCCAGCAGCCGCGGUAAUACGUAGGGGGCAAGCGUUAUCCGGAUUUACUGGGUGUAAAGGGAGCGUAGACGGCAGCGCAAGUCUGGAGUGAAAUCCCAUGGCUUAACCAUGGAACUGCUUUGGAAACUGUGCAGCUAGAGUGCAGGAGAGGUAAGCGGAAUUCCUAGUGUAGCGGUGAAAUGCGUAGAUAUUAGGAGGAAUACCAGUGGCGAAGGCGGCUUACUGGACUGUAACUGACGUUGAGGCUCGAAAGCGUGGGGAGCAAACAGGAUUAGAUACCCCGGUAGUC
rnacentral:rRNA from 1 species